CUUAAAUUGAAGAAAGUAAGGAAAACCACUAGACUGUUCAGGACUUUAAAAUAACAAAAAGAGGAAAGAUUCAGUCAGAAUUUGGAUGGUUAUUUAUCUGUGAUGCAAAGGAGGAAAUGGCUUCACUGACAAUAGAUGGGACUACGCUGACUAUAAAAACCCUUUUAUCUUUUGAAGAUACUUCAAAAUGUUGAUUUUUAAAGAGCAAGUUGGUAUUUGUGUGAAACAAACUCAUUUUUCACAAUCCAGUGUGCCCAUCCUAAGAAUGUUUCAUCUCACUGUAAUACUAUCAGCCAGCUCAAUGUAGCAACCAGAAAAAAAGGCAAAUAACAGAGGCAAAAGCAAACAGAGUGGAUUCUAGACACCCACAGAUAUGAGAAAAUAGUAUUCCAGAAAGAAAAAUGUAUUCCUCCAUCAGAUACUAAAAAGAGCCUUCAUGCUGAAAAUAUAACAACGGAACAGGAGACAAGGUUGGGAGGUGAGGGCUCUGCAGUCUUUAUGAACUGCUACUGUUCAAAAUCAACCCACCCAGCUCCGUGCAAGUACAGCUUCUGCAAUGAAAGAUGUUUAAA